AGCCUCCAUUUCUUUCUCCAACUUGGGCCCAGGCACAACGGCCUAGACCCUUGCGCCCCAGCACCCUAACCCAAGCUAGCCAUGUGCCUAGCUCAAGGCUCAAGUCGCUAGCCCUCGGCCCAAGCCAAGCCACCGCCACACCAAGCCGAUGAAGCACCCCACGACAACAGUCAUAACGUGGUUUCCCAGGCACCUUUUCACAUAUCCUCAACCCUCGUCGAGCCAAAUUUCAAACCCUGGGGUUCCCAAAAAUUACGAAGACAAGGAAAAAUCAAAUUUUUCUUACCUUGGAAGAUGAAGAAAGCAACGAAAGACGGUCCUUUGCAUGAGCAAGUGUAGAAGAUUGCUAGGGGAGGGGGAACAAACAUCCUCUAGCUUUCUCUCUUGUAGGGUAGAAGGAAUUACUCUCUGAAGUUGAUUUAAUAAUAUACUUAAGGUAGACUUAAAUAGACUUUGGAAGUAAUUUAUUUCCCUUUCCUAGAAUAAUCUAAUUUCCAAUUAAAAAGAGAAUCUACAUCAAAAUAGGAAACAAUCCUAUGUUUCCUAGAACAAGAAGAUCUCUACACCUACUGCCCUUUCAUGCGAGCAACCCAAUAGGUGUGGGGGCAUUUGUGGAGCAAAAAAUAAUCGAGAAAAAUAUGGAGGCGACACGUGUACUUUUGGGUUAAAAAGACAAAAUUACCCUUAAGGCACACCGGGACUUCCACGCGCAUGCAACAGACAAUAACGGCUCAAUCGAGGUCAAAGGUGAUCAAUUAUUGCAGCUAAGGAGCUGGGCGCCAAAUAAUAACUUGGUUGGCUCUAUAAAAUUAUAACCUAACAAUCACUUAGAGAUUAAUUUUUGUAUAAAAGAUCUUCAUUGAUCAUAAAGAGUUAUUAAUUGGUCGUAAAAUCACCAUCCUGUAGAAGAAAACUAAUACGUAUAAAGCAUGUUUAAUAAGAACAAGAAAAGUAAACAUUAGACACCUUCUGGAUUAUCAUUUUUAAAAUUCCCAUUUCUUUUCUUUUGUAAAUUCCAUUCCCAUUUUCAUAUUUGUCCGAUGCAUGUAAAAAAACAAAUAAAUAAAUCAAUUAUUAUAUAUAUUAAUUCGUUUAGAAGUAUUUUUUAAAACGAAUGAAAACGUUUUUAGUGAAAAUAGUUUUGAAAUCAAUCAUUAAUAAAAUUCAAAUGGAUCUUGGAGAAGCAUUUAAGUGUUUUAUGCAAGAAUCACAUAUCUAAUGAUUCUUCUAAGAGCACUUAAAAGACCUUGUUAUUUGAGAAGCAACUGCAUUCUUAUCUUUCAAACAUCUAUGUUUAGAGGUUUCAUGUUGCGAUACUUAACAAUCGUAUGCAUUAAUGGAAUAAUUACAUCAUCAACCAUAGAUCCAGAAGAUUGUAUUCGCUAGCAUAUCCACACAAGCUGGCCUUUCAUGCCAAAUGAUAACAAUCCUUAGUUGAAAGAAAGACAAAAUUUUUAGAAAUGUGAAGAGAUGAGACCUGACAUUGUUGAGUGGCUUCAAAUGAGAAAGACAUAUAGUUUGGUUAGAAUUUUUUUUUAUAUAAAAUAUAAAUAAGUAUAAAUAAAACGUUUUUAAUCAUUUUAAAAGCACUUUUAAAAUAGUUUUAUAUCUAUACUAUCUAUAUAAAAAUUAACAGUUUCUUGGAAAAUAUUUACCCAAAAAAAAGAUUCUUGGAAAAUAUCGACAGGUCUUGGAAUAUGGGCGG
rnacentral:lncRNA from 1 species